CAUAAAUUCUGUGGAAUAAAUAGUCUUUUAAGACAUACUUGGUUUAUUUCUAGACUAAUAAAGAUGUGACCUACUCACAGAGGCUUCACGUGUUUUGCGAAGUACAUUGGCUUUUAUUCAACAUGCAGUGGGACUCCAACUAAAGUGUCUCAGGAAGCAAUUCAUCAUAAUCCAAUCACCUCUGGAGCUUAGAAUAUCUGAAACACUUACUGAAAAUGGUUUGAAUUGUUUUGGAAAGAUGAUGUCUAUAAAUUUAAAGCUUUCAGUCUUCUGAGGAUGUGGAGCCACUUGAAUAUUUCUACUUAUUUCUGGAAAUAAGCAGGGUGCCAUCAACUUGAAUUUCCUGAUGACCUUGAUCAUAGUGGAAGUUGAGGGUUUAAGUUAUUCAGUAGAGUCCUCAUUGAUGUAGCCUUUCAUCAAAUCCUGUCAUGAAACAUGGUAAGAUUCUACCCCUUGAAAAAUAAUGUUUUCCUUUUUUUUUUCUUUCAGUUUACAGAAAUGCCUUAU
rnacentral:lncRNA from 1 species